CAGUGUGCGUCCGUGUGUCUCGCCUAUGGCAUUACCGUGGUGGUUUAGAGAAUGGACCCGUCAAGCUUCUGCACAUGAUCCUCAUCGACGCUCAUGGUAACCAUGGCUAUGCAGUUGUUCCGACAGAUUUUCUUGUCACUUAUAUUGAUAUGCUGCAUGAAGGCGUGGUGUAUGAGUUCAGUCGUUUCAGCGUGAUGUCUUCAUCAUGAACCCGGUCGAUGCGUCGUUGAUGAUCCAAUUUACACAAUUUACAAUUGUGAAGAAUUUUUUCGAUCUGAACGACGUAUUUCCGGAGUGGGCAUUCAACCUGACCCCACUAAAUGAAUUACCCCUUGCAAAUGAUACUCCCCAAGCCUACAUAGAUGUUAUCUGGGUUAUCACGGCGAUUUCUCCUGUGAAAGCCACUCGGGUGCCCAAUACUCUUAGACAAGUAUUCAGGCGUCGUCUGAUCCUCUCUGACAAUAAUGGCCACGAACUUGGAAUAACCCUUUGGGGUGAGAGUGCUAUUCGAUUUAAUGGAGAGAGUGUGCAUUUCAUGGGUCAAACAGACCCGGCUAUCGUUAUCUUUGUCGGCACCACCGUUUGUAUGUAUGAAGGGUCCAAGGAAUUAUCUGGUGGAUGUGCUUGCAAAUGAUAUGUUAACCAUGAUAUACCAGAGAUAAACAUAUUUAGGAGCAGGCUCCCAGUCAUCUUCCCUGCCAUUGAGCAUCUUCCUGCACCGUCGAAGAUUAUUCUCCAGGUCCAACAUGCCGAUGUGCAUCCAAUGGUGUUAUUGACCCACCUCAUAAACAUCAACUUAUAUCAAAAGGAGGUACCAUUGUAACACCAUGCAGUUUUGGCAGUCUUCCCAUAGUGCUUGCUAUUU